AUGGGGGGAACUCUUUGGCAUGCCGGCACACAGGAACGACACAUGCCGUACAACCUGAAGGUCACGUUCGUCAGGCUUGACUUGACCCUCACCGACGCCACCUUGCCACCUCUGUUGCCGGAGAUCAGCCGAAGAUUAGCUUGUUGCCGCUUUGCUUCAAUGGUUGCUUUAAUGCUUAAAACAUCAGAGUAUUUUUUUAGUUACAGAUUUGGCAAUACCCAGGACAUUAUGUUUCUCCAAUUCAACUAUUGGCUUUCAAGGUGGCAGUGUCAGCCAUUGCUGCUAUCACAGGAUCAUGUGACUGUAUAUUUGGUUUUUGUCAGAAUAUGA
rnacentral:rRNA from 1 species